rnacentral:rRNA from 1 species
UACGUAGGGUGCGAGCGUUAAUCGGAAUUACUGGGCGUAAAGCGUGCGCAGGCGGUUGGUUAAGUUGGAUGUGAAAGCCCCGGGCUCAACCUGGGAACUGCAUUUGUGACUGCAAGGCUAGAGUACGGCAGAGGGGGAUGGAAUUCCGCGUGUAGCAGUGAAAUGCGUAGAUAUGCGGAGGAACACCAAUGGCGAAGGCAAUCCCCUGGGCCUGCACUGACGCUCAUGCACGAAAGCGUGGGGAGCAAACAGG